rnacentral:rRNA from 1 species
UACAGAGGGUGCAAGCGUUAAUCGGAAUUAUUGGGUUUAAAGGGUGCGUAGGCGGCCUGUUAAGUCAGGGGUGAAAUUUUUCGGCUCAACCGGAAGCUUGCCUUUGAUACUGAUGGGCUUGAUUACACUUGAGGUAGGCGGAAUGUGACAAGUAGCGGUGAAAUGCAUAGAGAUGUCACAGAACACCAAUUGCGAAGGCAGCUUACUAAGGUGUUAAUGACGCUGAGGCACGAAAGCGUGGGGAUCAAACAGG